rnacentral:rRNA from 1 species
CGGUUGAUCCUGCCGGAGGUCACCGCUAUUGGAAUCCGCUUAAGCCAUGCGAGUCGAGAGGGUUCGGCCCUCGGCAUACUGCUCAGUAACACGUGGACAAUCUGCCCUCGGGAGGGGGAUAACCUCGAGAAAUUGAGAAUAAUACCCCAUAGGCCCCUUACGCUGGAAUGCUUUGGGGCUCAAAGCUCCGACGCCCGAGGAUGAGUCUGCGGCUCAUCAGGUUGUAGUGAGUGUAACGGACUCACUAGCCGACAACGAGUACGGGCCUUGGAAGAGGUCGCCCGGAGAUGGACUCUGAGACACGAGUCCAGGCCCUACGGGGCGCAGCAGGCGCGAAAACUUCGCAAUGUGGGAAACCACGACGAGGGGAUUCCAAGUGCUCAUGUUUUACAUGGGCUGUUUUUUUGCUUAAAGAGCAAAGAGAGUAAGGGCUGGGUAAGACGGGUGCCAGCCGCCGCGGUAAUACCCGCAGCCCGAGUGGUGAUCGUUUUUAUUGGGCCUAAAGCGUCCGUAGCCGGUUUAGUAAAUCCUUGGGUAAAUCGAGCAGCUUAACUGUCCGAGUUCCGGGGAGACUGCUAAACUUGGGACUGGGAGAGGUCGGAGGUACUCCAGGGGUAGAGGUGAAAUUCUGUAAUCCCUGGGGGACCACCAGUGGCGAAGGCGUCCGACUUGAACGGGUCCGACGGUGAGGGACGAAGCCCUGGGGCACAAACCGGAUUAGAUACCCGGGUAGUCCAGGGUGUAAACGCUGCGGGCUUGGUGUU